GAAAAAUUUACUUUCUUGAUGUAUCAUUUCUCCCACUAAUUGGGUCACUUUGCCGAUUUCGAGUAGCUCAAACGGGUCGAAUAAGAGGUGUCGUUGUGGACUUGCUACCAAUUAUUUCAUGGCGUGGACUCCUUUAAAUGCUGGGAGAAGGUUUUUCAGGUGCCCCAAGCAUGAGGAUGAAAUAUGUUCUUAUUGGGAAUGGCAAGAUAAGAGCUUCCUCCUAGAGUUUCAAAUCUCAUAUGUAGUUUAAUGAAGCUCUAAUCCGUGAAAGAAAGGCUCUCCAAAGGAAAGUUGUCGAUCUUGAGAAUGUUAUGAUGAUCGUCGAUCAUGGAGGAAUAGAAGCCUUGGAAUUGGAAAGAAAUGUUCUAAUGAAGAAAGUGGCUAAUUUAGAGUACUCAUGCAGCUGUGCUUGAUGCUAAAUUUCAGAAGAAGAUGUGAAUUUUCAUAUGUGUGAUUUAGGAUGUUUUGUAUUGUUCUUUGGAUCAGGGGGAAAUGAUAUGUAAUGUUAGUGUUAUUGUGGCUUAAUUGUUGUCUUUUGUUAUGUAAUGAAGCUUUAUGUUUUUGUGCAAGGAUUUAAUGAAGUCAUUGCCGUUCAUUUGGA